rnacentral:misc_RNA from 1 species
GAUGAAGAACGCAGCGAAAUGCGAUAAGUAAUGUGAAUUGCAGAAUUCCGUGAAUCAUCGAAUCUUUGAACGCACAUUGUGCCCUCUGGUAUUCCGGGGGGCAUGCCUGUCCGAGCGUCAUUUGCAACCCUCAAGCCCGGCUUGUGUGAUGGGUGCCGUCCCCUACGGGACGCGCCCCGAAGGCAAUGGCGGCGUCGCGGUUAUCCGAUCAGCCAAAGUGUAUGGGGCUUUGUCACUCACUUUACGGCCCGGACCGGCGCCAGUCCGAAUCAAUCUUUUUUCUAAAGUUGACCUCGGAUCAGGUAGGGAUACCCGCUGAACUUAAGCAUAUCAAUAAGCGGAGGA